rnacentral:tRNA from 1 species
GGAGGGGUGGCCGAGUGGUUUAAGGCAACGGUCUUGAAAACCGUCAUACCGAAAGGUAUCGUGAGUUCGAAUCUCACCCCCUCCG